UAAGCCAUGCAAGUCGAACGAGUUUAGGCUCGUGGCGUACGGCUCAGUAACACGUGGAUAACCUACCCUUAGGACCGGGAUAACCUUGGGAAACUGAGGACAAUACUGGAUAGGCAAUUUUUCCUGUAAUGGUUUUUUGUUUAAAUGUUUUUUCGCCUAAGGAUGGGUCUGCGGCCGAUUAGGUAGUUGGUUAGGUAACGGCUUACCAAGCCGUCGAUCGGUACGGGUUGUGAGAGCAAGAGCCCGGAGAUGGAACCUGAGACAAGGUUCCAGGCCCUACGGGGUGCAGCAGGCGCGAAACCUCCGCAAUGUGAGAAAUCGCGACGGGGGGAUCCCAAGUGCCAUUCUUAACGGGAUGGCUUUUCAUUAGUGUAAAGAGCUUUUGGAAUAAGGGCUGGGCAAGACCGGUGCCAGCCGCCGCGGUAACACCGGCAGCUCUAGUGGUAGCAGUUUUUAUUGGGCCUAAAGCGUCCGUAGCCGGUUUAAUAAGUCUCUGGUGAAAUCCUGUAGCUUAACUGUGGGAAUUGCUGGAGAUACUAUUAGACUUGAGACCGGGAGAGGUUAUAGGUACUCCCAGGGUAGAGGUGAAAUUCUGUAAUCCUGGGAGGACCGCCUGUUGCGAAGGCGUCUAACUGGAACGGUUCUGACGGUGAGGGACGAAAGUUAGGGGCGCGAACCGGAUUAGAUACCCGGGUAGUCCUAACCGUAAACGAUGCGGACUUGGUGUUGGGGUGGCUUUGAGCUGCUCCAGUGCCGAAGGGAAGCUGUUAAGUCCGCCGCCUGGGAAGUACGGUCGCAAGACUGAAACUUAAAGGAAUUGGCGGGGGAGCACCACAACGCGUGGAGCCUGC
rnacentral:rRNA from 1 species